GCUUUUUACCAUCCAUUGGCUUUAAGAUUUUUCUUGAUGCGCACUCAUUAUAGAUCAGAUGUGAACCAUUCUGAUCAAGCACUUGAGAUUGCAUCUGAUCGUGUCUAUUACAUUUAUCAGACUCUAUAUGACUGCGAGGAAGUAUUAGCUACAUAUCGUGAAGAGGGUAUUUUUUUCUCAGUGUCGUUCGAGGAGCAAAAUCUGAUUGAUAAGCACCAUUCAGAAUUCUUGAAAUAUAUGUCGAAUGAUCUUAAAACCAUAGAUGUUCUGGAUCGUUGCUUCAUGGAGCUACUGAAGGCCAUAAACGGCAGUCUGAAUGAUUUGAAGAAACUGCAACAGAAAAUAGAACAGCAAAAGAAGAAACAACAACAGCAGAAGAAGCAGCAACAGAAGCAACAACAAUUGCAAAAACAACCAGAACAUUAUAUUCAAGCUCUGAUUGCAAUGGAAAUAGAACUUAAAAAUAAACUGUCUAUACUUGGUCUGAUGCCAUCUUCAUCUUUGGCAGAGGUAUUGAAGCAAUUGAAGGACAAAGCACUAAAGAGAGCGGGGCUGACUGAAGAAAAAUUGCAAGAGCAGAUUGAGCAGAUAAACGUUGCAAGGAAGAAUAAACAGUUUGAGAUAUCUAAUGGAAUUAGGAAAAACUUUGCUACCAAGGGCAUCGCCCUGAUGAAUGAACCUUCUAGUACAGUGUGGAGACCAUGCGAACCAGAGGGAUAUGAAGAGUCAUGA